CCUUCCCAUUUAUUAAAUGCCUCUUAAUAGCCUAGAAUGACAAGAAUCACUAUAAAAAGCACAAACAGUCAAUUGAACUCCGUGGGAUUUUUUUGUUUGCUAUAAUUGUUUUUUUAAACGUUUUCUUCUAGAUUUUUCUACUACUUCGGCCUUCAUGUCAUGGAUCUAUUGAUCUGAUGCUAGCUACUGAAGAUUGACAAGCAAAAAAAAAGGGCAAAGCAUCAUGGAUUGCCUUUCUGAUAUGGAUUGCUCAUCCGAUGAGGAAGGAAACAUAUUACCAAACCUUAGCUGCUCAGGAGCAGGAACAGAGCAAAGUACUACUUCAACACUCUUAUCUGAUGACAACAAAGAGAUAGAUC